GACGAACGCUGGCGGCAUGCCUAAUACAUGCAAGUCGAACGCUUUAAUUUCACCGGGUGCUUGCACCCAUCGGAGUUAAGGAGUGGCGGACGGGUGAGUAACACGUGGGUAACCUGCCCAUAAGAGGGGGAUAACAUUCGGAAACGGAUGCUAAUAUCGCAUAUUUCUAAUCGUCUCCUGACGAAUGGAAGAAAGGUGGCUUCGGCUACCGCUUAUGGAUGGAUCCGCGGCGUAUUAGCUAGUUGGUGAGGUAAUGGCUCACCAAGGCGAUGAUACGUAGCCGACCUGAGAGGGUGAACGGACACAUUGGGACUGAGAUACGGCCCAG
rnacentral:rRNA from 1 species